rnacentral:rRNA from 1 species
GACAGAGGUGCCGAGCGUUAGGCGGAAUCACUGGGCUUAAAGCGUGUGUAGGCGGACCCCUAAGCGCCAUUGUGAAAUCCCGCCGCUCAACGGCGGAACCGCGUGGCGGACUGGGGGUCUUGAGGGACCCAGGGGCGAGCGGAACAGGCGGUGGAGCGGUGAAAUGCGUAGAUAUCGCCUGGAACGCCGACGGUGAAAACAGCUCGCUGGGGGUCAUCUGACGCUGAGACACGAAAGCCAGGGGAGCGAACGGG